rnacentral:rRNA from 1 species
AUUGAACGCUGGCGGCAUGCCUUACACAUGCAAGUCGAACGGCAGCUCGGGAGCAAUCCUGGUGGCGAGUGGCGAACGGGUGAGUAAUAUAUCGGAACGUGCCUAGUCGUGGGGGAUCACGCAGCGAUAGCUGCGCUAACACCGCAGACGGUCUACGGACUAAAGAGGGGGAGUGCAAGAGCUCGCGCAAUUGUAGCGGACGAUAUCAGUUUAGCUAGUUGGCGGGGUAAAGGCCCACCAAGGAGACGAUCUGUAGCUGGUCGGAGAGGACGACCGGCCACACUGGAACUGAGACACGGUCCAGACUCCUACGGGAGGCAGCGGUGGGGAAUUUUGGACAAUGGGCGAAAGCCUGAUCCAGCAAUGCCGCGUGCAGGAUGAAGGCCUUCGGGUUGUAAACUGCUUUUGUACGGAACGAAACGGUGAGCUCUAAUACAGUUUGCUAAUGACGGUACCGUAAGAAUAAGCACCGGCUAACUACGUGCCAGCAGCCGCAGUAA